UACAGGGGGGGCAGGCAUUAUUCAUACUUAAUCGGCGUAAAGGGUGUGUAGGUUGUUGAUCCAAUUAAAUGUGAAAUGCUAGGUUAAAAACUUAGAAAAGCACUUAAUAUUAGUCAACUAGAGUUAAAAUAAAGUUAGAGGAAUUUUUAGUGUAGAGGUCAAAUUCACAGAUAUUAAAAAGAAUACCAAAGGCGAAGGCAUCUAGCUAGAUUUAACUGACACUAAAACACGAAGGCAUGGGUAGCAAACGGG
rnacentral:misc_RNA from 1 species